rnacentral:SRP_RNA from 1 species
CCGCACUAGACGGGGAGGUAGCGGUGCCCUGUACUCGCAACCCGCUAUAGCGAGGUCGAAUGUCCGUUUGAGGCCUUUCUUUUUUGGGGUCCGGCUCCGGUGUACGGUGUUGAGGGUCGGGUCCCACGCAACGGAAGUCUAUGAACCCCGUCAGGACCGGGAGGUAGCAGCGGUAAGUAGAUGCCUCCGUGUGCCGUGGGGGUGCUUGACCGGAGCUGGUUGCCGGGGUAUCGCCUGGGGGAGAAGGUCGAAGCGGAUGUGCGG